GAACGUGUUUGGGAGUCUGUGGGAUUUGAAAGAGGGAUGCUGUCUUGUAAUCUGCCUGUUUGUCCUGUUUAGUAGGAAUUCAAGUGCUUAAGGAGGAAAUGUUUAGAACAAAGCACUGCAGAUACAGUUUGGUACGUAAUGCAGACAGAAAUAAGGUAUUGAUACGGAAAAGUUGUGGGAUGAAUGGAAUAAUCUGAAGUCUUGUGGCUUCAUACUUGGUAUAGAAAUUUGACCAGGUGUAUAUAUUCUUUGCCAUUUACAAAUGGAGAUCCUUGGCAUAAAGAAUUGUGCUUUGAAACCAUGCUUUGUGUACUGAGAGUGUCUCUUCUGUCCCUUGUGGCUGUCAUGGUCUCUGUGGUUCUGUGUUAUGCUGUUACUUUUUAAGAAACGACCAAACAACAAAGACGCGUGAGGGAUGCUUUGACUCUUACAUCAACAGAUAUAGAAUGAAAAAAAUCCACCCAGCAUCCUGCAUCUCUGCUGUAAAUGCUGCUUUUUGCAGUUGUAUUUUUUUGGAUAAGUUGAAUCAGUGGUUCACCUGGAGGUGGUAUGCACUUCCCAUUGUUCUGUACUAGUAAAAAUGUGAAUUUUUAGUAUCAUUUGAGCACUUGCUUGUUUGCAAUUACGUGGUGUAUGGGAAGUGUUAAGUCAGGACCUGAACCAAUGAUUGAGCACUUGGUGAAGGGGCAUAGCCAGCCCUGGGAGCACAGGUGGAAGCAAUUCACCUGUGCGAUUGGAAGUCCCUAACCUCAUUUACAGGCUGGCUGCCACACAGGAAGGUUCCCUAGUUGGAGAUUGCUUCCCUGGGAGUGUUUGGUGAGCCCCGAUCCUUACAGUAGGACAUAACUGUAUAAAGAUUCAGUGACUGAACCUGACUGUGUUGUUACAUUUCUGUGAAGAUGCAAAAAUGGACCAGCUCUGACAGACCUGUCCUCUGUGCAUCUCUACGUCUGCCCCCGUCUGGAAAAGUGACUGUGCUAUGAGUGCUGCCUCUUAUUCUAGCUGUGCUACAAAAAUGAACAGUGAUCCUUCUUUCACCAUUCAAAGUACAGCUGUGGACACUCAAGAGCAUCUUUACGAAAUGUGUGGGUCUACCGUAACUGGUUGGAUACUUGAACGCUAUGGUGACAUCUUUGUACGGUGUACUGCAUGCAAAUGAAAGAACUCCAGAAAUGUAUUCCUCUUGGCAUGUUAUCUGUUGAUGGUAUUUCUGUUCUACUUUACUAGAUAAUAAUUUCUAUAUUAAACUAUGUUUUGAGCUAUGUAGAAUGUCAAGAAGAGUUCUUAUGUUACACUGGGGAGAAGUGUUAUUGUAUUAUACACAAAGGUAAUAGUUUGUAAAUGAUAUUAAGACUUAUUAUUUGUGAAGUGCAGAGGACCUUACUUUUGUCCUUAGGCUCCUCAGAUGCAAUGAUA
rnacentral:lncRNA from 1 species